rnacentral:rRNA from 1 species
AUUGAACGCUGGCGGCAUGCUUUACACAUGCAAGUCGAACGGCAGCGGGGUAGUGCUUGCACUACUGCCGGCGAGUGGCGAACGGGUGAGUAAUAUAUCGGAACGUACCGAGUAAUGGGGGAUAACCAAUCGAAAGAUUGGCUAAUACCGCAUACGUCCUGAGGGGGAAAGCGGGGGAUCGCAAGACCUCGCGUUAUUCGAGCGGCCGAUAACUGAUUAGCUAGUUGGUGGGGUAAAGGCCUACCAAGGCGACGAUCAGUAGCGGGUCUGAGAGGACGAUCCGCCACACUGGGACUGAGACACGGCCCAGACUCCUACGGGAGGCAGCAGUGGGGAAUUUUGGACAAUGGGGGCAACCCUGAUCCAGCCAUGCCGCGUGUAUGAAGAAGGCCUUCGGGUUGUAAAGUACUUUUGUUAGGGAAGAAAAGGGAAGUGCUAAUACCACUUUUUGCUGACGGUACCUAAAGAAUAAGCACCGGCUAACUACGUG